ACAAGAGCAGCCUGGACACACAGCCUUUCCCAGGACAGACAAUGCCAUUCAAGCAAAGAGCUUCCAGCCACUUGGCAAGCAUUCCAAAGGGAAGAUUCUCUCUAAACAAAACUUGAAGAGCAAAUUUCCUGGGAGUGAGCAGAGGGGAACUUCUGUGGGAGGAGCUGAAAGAGCUCCAAAGAGAGGACGGAAAAUAAAGCAGUCCCAUUCAUGAUUUUUAAAUACUGAAAAGUGAAGAAACAGAGACCGUCCUGCAGAUGUCAGUUACUGAUGAAGCUAGGAGGGGUACUUGAAUCCUGAACCUAAUGUUGACCCAAAACUCCCUUGAUUCCUUUUUACCUCUAGCUAAUA